UGGGGAAUAUUGGACAAUGGGCGCAAGCCUGAUCCAGCCAUGCCGCGUGAGUGAUGAAGGCCUUAGGGUUGUAAAGCUCUUUUGUCCGGGACGAUAAUGACGGUACCGGAAGAAUAAGCCCCGGCUAACUUCGUGCCAGCAGCCGCGGUAAUACGAAGGGGGCUAGCGUUGCUCGGAAUCACUGGGCGUAAAGGGCGCGUAGGCGGCCUUGUAAGUUGGGGGUGAAAGCCCGUGGCUCAACCACGGAAUUGCCUUCGAUACUGCUUGGCUUGAGUGUGGUAGAGGUUGGUGGAACUGCGAGUGUAGAGGUGAAAUUCGUAGAUAUUCGCAAGAACACCGGUGGCGAAGGCGGCCAACUGGACCAUCACUGACGCUGAGGCGCGAAAGCGUGGGGAGCAAACAGG
rnacentral:rRNA from 2 species